AACAAACGCUAGCGGCAGGCUUAACACAUGUAAGUCGAGGGGUAGAGGUUGCUUGCAACCUUGAGACCGGCGCACGGGUGCGUAACGCGUAUGCAACCUACCUUUUACAGAGGGAUAGCCCAGAGAAAUUUGGAUUAAUACCUCAUAGUAUAUAACCUUCGCAUGUUGGUUAUAUUAAAGUUCCAACGGUAAAAGAUGGGCAUGCGUCCUAUUAGCUAGAUGGUAAGGUAACGGCUUACCAUGGCAACGAUAGGUAGGGGUCCUGAGAGGGAGAUCCCCCACACUGGUACUGAGACACGGACCAGACUCCUACGGGAGGCAGCAGUGAGGAAUAUUGGACAAUGGGCGCAAGCCUGAUCCAGCCAUGCCGCGUGCAGGAAGAAGCAUCUAUGGUGUGUAAACUGCUUUUGUACAGGAAGAAACACCCCGACGUGUCGGGGCUUGACGGUACUGUAAGAAUAAGGAUCGGCUAACUCCGUGCCAGCCGCCGCGGUAAUAC
rnacentral:rRNA from 1 species